UACGAAGGGGGCAAGCGUUGUUCGGAAUGACUGGGCGUAAAGGGCGCGUAGGCGGUUCGUUGCGUCAGAUGUGAAAGCCCCGGGCUCAACCUGGGAACUGCAUUUGAUACGGGCGAGCUUGAAUCCAAGAGAGGGUGGUGGAAUUCCCAGUGUAGAGGUGAAAUUCGUAGAUAUUGGGAAGAACACCAGUGGCGAAGGCGGCCACCUGGCUUGGUAUUGACGCUGAGGUGCGAAAGCGUGGGGAGCAAACAGG
rnacentral:rRNA from 1 species